UACGUAGGGUGCAAGCGUUGUCCGGAAUCACUGGGCGUAAAGGGCGCGUAGGCGGAUCUUUAAGUCGGGGGUGAAAGCCUGAGGCUCAACCUCAGAAUUGCCUUCGAUACUGGAGAUCUUGAGACCGGAAGAGGUAAGUGGAACUGCGAGUGUAGAGGUGAAAUUCGUAGAUAUUCGCAAGAACACCAGUGGCGAAGGCGGCUUACUGGUCCGGUUCUGACGCUGAGGCGCGAAAGCGUGGGGAGCAAACAGG
rnacentral:rRNA from 1 species